rnacentral:lncRNA from 1 species
AAAGUUACUGUAGCACAGAGAUUUUCAUAGUACACUUCUAAAAUUACAAUGAUCUUAUGAAAAACACAAGAAUUUGAUCCAGAAUCAAAGAAGAAGAAAAAUCUCUUGAAGAGACCAGAGAGAAAGAAACUCAAAAAAUCGAAACUCUUCAAAAUCAUGUGUAUGAAAACAAACUAUGGUUGACUUUUCAAAAUCACCACUGAAAUAAUCAGAUUCCAUAUUAGCCACUGAUCUAUAAUGGACGGCCAGGAUGAAAGCUAAAGAAGCACAACUCGCGUAAAGCUCCUUGGGCCAACUGGGGGUUGCCACUUGGGCUGCCGACAUCCAAAAGAACCUUUUGCCCUUAAUGAAAGUGUCAAUGGAUUUGAGAAGCAUGCUUUUACAAUCUUCACCUUGGUUCUCAAAUCAUCCACUGUCUCAAGUAUGCUAACUUUUGCACAUAAGAACUAACUUUGCCCUACAUCAUUGCCCUUGUUACCUGUAAGAAAAAUCGACCGAUAUCAAUAUGGAGAAUAGACAAGCAUGAUCUGAACUUAUUAACAGAUAAAAUUUUCAUCCCCAUAUCAGAUGGGUUUUCAUCAGUGUGAAUUUUCUCAAGAUUCACAUCACCAGAAGAUAUCUUCUCUCUUAUGAAGUGAUACUUCACCUCAAUGUGUUUAGACCUCUCAUGAUACACUGGGUUCUUACUCAAUAGUAAAGCACUCUGGCUAUCAGUAAGAAUUGUUGGGGUCUCUUGCAGAAAAUUUAAUUCAAUUAAGAUUCCUUUUAGCCACGAACACUCUUUUACAGAUUCAGUUAUGGCUAUAUAUUCUGCCUCAGUACUAGAUAGAGUGACUAUUGGUUGUAACUGAAAUUUUCAGGUAAUACAGUCCCCCCUCCCUAAUGUAAAGAAGAAAGCAGAAGUUGAUUUCUUUGAUCUUUGUCGUCAGCAAAAUCAGAGUCUACAUAUCCAACAAGAGUUAAGUUCUCAGAUCUUUUUUCAAAAGUCGAACCAAUGAUUAAUGUUCCAGAAAUAUUUCUUAGUAACCAUUAUAAACUUGCCCAAUGGGGUUUACCAAGAUUUGACAUAAGUCUACUUAGAAAACUAAUAGCAUAGGCUAAAUCAGGUCUUGUUGUAAUCAUUGAAAACAUCACAGACCCUAUUGCAUUAGCAUAUGGAAUGUUUCUCAUCUCAAUUUCAGUUUUUGGUGAUUGAGCAGUGGAGAGGUUCGUGUGGGCAGUUAGAGGUACACUUACAGACUUGGCAUCUUUCAUACCGAACUUGGUUAUAACUUUAUUCAGAUAGGAUUCUUGAGAUAUUGUCAAUAUAUUACUAAGCCUAUCUCUUUUUAUGACCAUCCCUAGGAUUUUCUUGGCGUUGCCUAAGUCUUUCAUAUCAAACUCUGAUUUCAAGAGGUUCUUAAGUCUUUCAAUUUCAGGCAUACUGGAACUUGCUAGAAGCAUAUCGUCUACAUAGAGAAGAAGGUAUACUUCACUUCCAACCUUAGCCUUAUUAAAGUAUAAACAAUGAUCAUACUCACUCCUCUUGAAUCCAAUUUUUAGCACAUAUGUGUCAAACGUAAUAUACCAUUGCCUCGGGCUUUGUUUAUGCCCGUACAAGGAUUUUUGUAACUUACACGCAAAAUCCUAUUUAUAUUUCACCUCAAAACCUUGAGGCAGACAGAUAUUUGUCCUCUUCCAACUCACCAUGUAAGAAUGCAGUCUUAACAUCUAAUCGUUCAAGUUCCUAGUUGAAUUGAACAAUUAGUGCAAGAAUCAUUCUUAUGGUUUUAUAUUUUAUGACAAGUGAAAAUAUUUCAUUAUAAUUCACUCCUUCUUUCUGAGUAAAGCCCUUGGCAACUAGUUUGGCUUUAUACCUAACCAGUUCAAAUGGGUUAUUCCCUUCUUUUCACUUGUAAAUCCACUUACACUAAACGAUUCUAUGAAUGUUAGGCCUUUUUACCAACUUCCAAGUUUUAUUUUCAGUUAAGGACUACAUUUCUUCCCUCAUUGCAAUUUUUCAGUUGGUAGCAUUAGGACAAUUCAUAGUCUCCUCAAAGGUAGUGGGUUUUGGAUUUUCUAAUGCUUCAUCUGAAGUUAAGGCAAACUCAGUCAAGUUAUUAAUGUGAUAUCUGGGAUUAGGUUUCACUUGCCUUCUUUCCGUAUCCCUGACAAGUUGGUAAUACUGAUUAAUGGGUUCAGUGUUAGGAUUAUUUGGGGUGGUUUCUAUUUCAGGGUCAUUUUGUAUGUUGGGUGAACUAACUUCACCUUCAUCUGACUCCUCAACUCUCUCGAAGUCUCAUGUACAUUAGGUUCAUUAUCCUCAGGUGAUGGGUUAAUGGACCUGGUUAACUUGACUUCAUUAGUAGGAAUGUUUCCUUUAUUUGGAUUAGCUCGUUGUUUAGCCUUAUUCUUCAAACAUGGCAUUUCAGAUUCAUUAAACACAACAUUCCUACUGUUGAUAAUUUUUAUACCUUUGCUAUCGAAAACCCAUAGUCUAUAGCCUUUUACCCCUUCAGGAUAUCCUAGUAAAACACAUUUAGUUGCCCUAGGAUCCAAUUUUCCUUUUGUUUGGUGUGCAUAUGCUACAUAUCCAAACACUCUAAUGUGAGACAAAUCAGGUGGUUUCCAGUCCACAAUUCUUGGGGUGUUUUAAAAUCAACGGAGUUGCUAGGGGACCUAUUUAUUAGAUACGCAGCAGUACAAACAGUUUCAGCCCAGAACCCUUUUGCAAGUCCUGAGCUGAUAAGAAGACAUCUGAACUUAUUCAUAAGAGUCCUGUUCAUUCUUUCAGCAACCCUAUUUUGUUGGGGGUGUGUUUCUAAUAGUCCUAUGUAUGACUAUUCCCUUUGUUUACAAAAGUUCUCAAAUUCAGAAUUACAGAACUAUAAUCCAUUGUCAGUCCUUAAUGUUUUUAGUUUCCUGUUCAGCUGAUUUUCUGUCAUUUUAAGCUAGGUUCUGAAUUUCUGGAAAGUUUCAGAUUUAGCCUUUAAAGGGUAAAUCCAAACUUUCCUGGAAUAGUCAUCAAUUAUAGACAAGAAAUAUCUAUUCCCCCCAAAAGUGGGAUGACUUUUAGGUCCCCACAGGUCAGAGUGUACAUAAUCCAAAGGUCUAUUUGUGGUGUGAGACCCUACAUUGAAACUCACCUUAUGGGAUUUGCCUAAUACACAAUUCUCACAAAAUUGUAGAGGUUCUAUUAUAUCCUUCCCAAGUAAUUUUUGGUUACUUAGAUAUUUCAAGCCCUUGUUACCAAUAUGACUCAUUCUAUUUCAAGCCCUUGUUCUCCAGCAAGAUAAUAUAGUCCAUUCCUCUUGGGUCCCCUCAACACAACAAGUGAUCCCUUCAUCACCUUUAGUGUAUUAGUAUCAGACUUAAAUGUAUACCCUUUAUUUUCAAGGACCCCUAAUGAGAUAAGGUUUCUCUUUAAGUUUGGGACAUGCCUAACAUUUUUAAUUUGUCUCACAAUGCCAUCAUGCAUUUUAAUAGCUAUGUCACCAACUCCCUGUGCAGUUUGUGAGUUGUUAUCUACCAUGUACACUUUCCUAGGUUCAAUUGGUUUGUAGUUAUAAAACCAAUAUCUGUUAGAGCUCAUGUGAAAUGUGCAUCUAGAGUCCAAGAUCCAAUCGUUAUCACUAUCAUCAUUAGACACAGUCAUUACAAGAAGACUAUCUAAGUCAUGAGUAACGGUUGCAUUAUUCAAGUCAACUGCACUUUGAUCCCUUUGUUUCUUCUUGAAUUCAAAACAGUCUUUUAAAGUGUCCAAGUUUUCCACAGUGAUAGCACUUUUUAUUACUUUUAUCCGUAGAUUUGGAUCUACCUCUGGAUUUAGACCUGAAUUUUCUAUUAUGGGUAUGGUUUUCUUUCUUUUCAGAUCUCCUUCUCACAAACAUGUUUUCCUCUCUCGUGUGAGAUUUAGAUUCUUUCUUGGCCUCUUGUUCUCUAGCUCUCAAAGCAUUUGUUACAAUAGACUGAGUUAAGUCAUCCCUUGAGUAUUUUAUGGCAUUCCUUAUAUCUCUAUAGGAUUGAGGUAAUGAGUUAAGUAAUAUAACUGCAAGGUCUUCAUCAUCAAAUUUUUUGUCAUUGUGUGCUAGACUCUUUACCAGAAUGCUAAAAUCACUCAAGUUUGCUUCAAGGUCUUUUCUAAUGUCCAUCUUGAAACUAAAUAAUUUGUCUAACAAAUAGAUUUUAUUAGGCAGUAUCUUGGUCAAGAACAAUGUAUCAAGUGCAGUCUACAAGGCUCUAGGUGUUUGAGAUUCUUCAACUUGUCUCACAAUAUUGUCAGAUCAAUGCAAGAUAAUUGAAUUGUAAGAAAUGUCAUUCAUUUCUUGAAUUUCAUCAAGUUUAGCCUUUAAUUCAUUAAGAAUGUUGCAGGAUCAUCCAGGGCCUUAGCGACCCUUCGUUAGGCUAAUAUAGCCCUCAUUUUCUGCUUCCAUAUCGAGUAAUCCCCCUUUCCAUCGAAUUGAGACAACUCAACCUCCGAACCCAUUACAGGUUCUGUAAAAGAGUGACGAUUACUAGUGGACAUAAGUGAUUCUUAAUCGUUAAUCACUUAAGUGCAGAAAAGGUUUUUGAAAAAUUUCAACAAUUAAAAGGUAAACAGAUUCAAGAAUGACAGUAGUAUUCACAAGAGUACGAAAACUAUCACGGUAUAGUCAACCAGUAACCAAUCUCAAGAUCUCAUAAUACAGUAUAUUGAGAUUACUAACUUAAAGCAUGCUUCAAGAUCAGCUUAUAUAGAUAUCAUAUACAAGACAAAAUUUGUUCUCAAAAUUUAUUAACUAGUAUUAUCCAAUUUCAAGAACACCAAGAGCAUGCUUUUCAGUUUAUGAGUAAAGACAGUUAGAAUGGUCUCACCUACUACAUGGUUGACAUAUUAUAUUACCCAUACUCAAUUCGCUUUUCAAGUCUAGGAGUCCAGUUUCUCCAGUUAUGGCUUUCAGCCAUUGCAUCCAAAUAAAAAUGGUCAAUUACGAUUCAAGGAAAAAUAUUCAGAAAAAUGUAUCAAUAAAUGUGGAUCAAGAAAAGCAAUUCUCUUGGAGUAGGCUGUGGCUCAGUGUUCUAGAAACCUGAAGCUCUGAUAUCAGAUUUGUUAGGAAUUUUGACGUUCUUUUUGUGUACUCGUGUGAAAGUGGCCAAUCAUUCAGCGAAAACAGUAAAGAACAUCAAAAUCUUGGUCACCCAUUUCGGCCAAAAUGCCUAAUCUGGGGGGCUCAGAGGCAAGCCCGUUCACUAUGUGCAAAGCAACCCUCCAAUAGACAGUAACGACUUUGGAACCACACUCAGACACCGGUUUUGAUUAUAGAUCCAAAGGAUCUCACAAAAACAACCCUUAAUCACCAAAACAACAAGAGACUCAAACUGCUAAACCAAACCCCACACACCAAAGGCCAAUACAGCCGACCAAAGUUACUGUAGCACAGAGAUCUUCACAGUACACUUCUAAAAUUACAAUGAUCUUAUGAAAAACACAAGAAUCUGAUCCAGAAUUGAAGAAGAAGAAAAAUCUCUCGAAGAGACCAGAGAGAGAAAAACUCAAAAAACCGG